ensembl:lncRNA
UGUCUUUGCAGCGAGAACCAUGCCAGUCAGCCUUGUCUCCCUGACCUCUACCGUCCCUCACGAAACCUCUCACACUUCUCCGCUUUCUCGCACACAAAACCAGCCAAUAACAAGGAAGCACUGAUCCUGUGACCUCUCCUUCUUACCAGUCACUACAUUUUCUCAAAUCUUUCUUCCAAACUGAAUAUGCAGUGGAGUCAGACUAUAUCAUAUGAUGCGAUUAAAAUCUUUUCCAACAAUUCCAGCAAGGACAAUCUGGCGUUUUGACUCACAGCCUAUGGAGCUGCAGUGGAAUAAACAUAGCAGUACAGAUCUGACCUUUGAACUCUCCAGUGGACCAUAAACUCUUCAUAAGCAAGCUUGGGCAUAAUUCAGGUCAUUUUGAGUGAUCGCCACCAGAUCCAGUCUGUAUCCAGAUCAGAGGGUCACUGCAGUCACUCGGAUCCAGUACGUAUCCAGACCAGGUGGUGGAUCAGGACCUCUACUGUCCUGAAAGACAGCGGAGACCAGGACAACUAGAUGAGCCCCAGAUACAGAUCCCCUGUAAAGACCUUGUCUCAGAUGACCACCAGGACAAGACCACAGGAAACAGAUGAUUCUUCUGCACAAUCUGACUUUGCUGCAGCCUGAGAUUUAACUACUGGUUUCGUCUGGUCAGAGGAGAACUGGCCCUUCAACUGAGCCUGGUUUCUCCCAAGGUUUUUUUCUCCAUUCUCUCACCGAUGGAGUUUCGGUUCCUUGCCGCCAUCGCCUCUGGCUUGCUUAGUUGGGGACACUUCAUCUACAGUGAUAUUGUUGACUUGAUUGCAAAUGAUUGCACACACACUAUUUAAACUGAACAGAGAUGAUAUCACUGAAUUCAGUGAUGAACUGCCUUUAACUGUCAUUUUGCAUUAUUGACACACUGUUUUCCUAAUAUAUUUUAUUAUAUAUUUUUAUAUUUUUGUAGAUUUGUGUGUUUUAUUCACGAGUGCCAAUAGUAAAUAUCUGAAUAGAAUAUAUAAAUAUAUGAAGUUAAGGAAUAACGCAAGGUUGAGCUCCUUCAGAAGUUGCAGAAAAAAUAUUUGUGGCAUAUAUAUUUUUUAAUUGUAGCGGAAUAACAGCAUGAGAACAGAAAAGGGAUAAAAUGUGAAAAAUGCUUGCAAAUGCUUAAAAGAAAUGGUGAGAACGCUAUAAAGAAGGGCUAUAAACCAGAAACGAAAAAAGAAGGCUGAAGAUGUACUUAAGACCAGAAGCUUUGCAUUUUUAAGUUUGUGCUUGGUGGAGAAUACAGAAAACGAAGAGAGAAAGAGAGGUGAGAACUACAGGUCAUGAGGUGAUUGUUUUAGUAAGUAAAUAUGUGUGCGGAAGAAUAUUUUCUCCCACUAAAAUUCCUUAUUUACUGUUUAAGAUUCAUCUGUGAUAAGAUAAAUGAAAGACUUUAUCUUCAUUGAUCUGUUCAAAAAACAUGGACAUGACUUUCCUCCCUCUGUAUUAAUAAUACUCACACAAACACACGCAGAGAUGCACUCACUCACUUAGUCCCACACCUAGACACACGCGUACGCCCGAGCACACGCGCACACACGUACACUGGCAGCAGCAGAAUUGAAUGCGAUAGGGAAGUGAAAAAUGAUUAACCCGGGGUCAGCUCUCAGCCUCAAUCUCACCAGCGCUCAAAGAGCAGCGCAGACUGAUUUAAACUCGUCAUGUUCCGCCGCACA